rnacentral:rRNA from 1 species
GACGAACGCUGGCGGCGUGCUUAACACAUGCAAGUCGAACGAAGUGGCGAACGGGUGAGUAAUACGUGGGUAACCUGCCCUCCUUUUUGGGAUAAGCCUUGGAAACGGGGUCUAAUACCGAAUAAAGGGGGAUGGGCUCGCGGCCUAUCAGCUUGUUGGGGGGGUGAUGGCCUACCAAGGCGGUGACGGGUAGCCGGCAUGAGAGGGGGGCCGGCCGUAUAGGGACUGAGGUACGCCCCGGACUCCUGCGGGGGGCAGCAGUGGGGGAUAUUGCACAAUGGGCGAGAGCCUGAUGCAGCGACGCCGCGUGGGGGAUGAAGGCUUUCGGGUUGGAAACCUCUUUCGAUAGCGAACGGGUAGGUGGAGAAGAAGCGCCGGCUAACUACGUGCCAGCAGCCGCGGUAAUUC